rnacentral:Y_RNA from 1 species
GGCUGGUAGGAGUGCACUGGUGUUUACAAUUCAUUGAUCACAGCCAAUUAUGGAGUUUUUUUGUUCCUUCUCUCACACUGCUACACUUGACUAGCCUAAA